rnacentral:lncRNA from 1 species
UCAGAUGCAUAUAAAAAAAUACACCAGACAAAAUAUAAAACAACAGAAACCAAGCCAAAAUCACUUACAGGAAGGGAUCCAAGAGGGCUUUUUUGUGGUAGAGAUUGUUUUUGUAGUUUUAGCAAUGUUUCAGAUUCGAAGGAGGCUCCUUUCAGUCUGCCAGAAGGAAUAAAAGAUCCAUCCAAAGGAGAAUUUAAAUGAUUUGUUUUGGCAUAGCUGAGCUACAGCGUUCAAAGGGAUAACAACAAACAGGAGAGUGAAAGUUAAAACACUCACCAGAAACACUUUGAUGUGAGGCAUCUGAUACAUGAGUAUACAUGUUUGCAAUGGAAGUAUACCCUGAUACAUGGUUGUCACAAAGGAAAAUAUCAAAGCAGAAAGCCCUCCAGAAAGGAGGGCUGAGUCACUGAAAGGCUGACUUUAACCCUCUUAGGUGCUUGUUAACAAUACACCAUAGAUGAAUUCAUCUGCUGAAGAUGACGAUGCAGCAUCACAGCAUGUAAGGAAGGUGCUCUCUUCCAGCAGCUUCAGUUCUCCCAUGCCACUACUGCUUACAGUAGAGCAGUUUGUCAGGCAGAAACAGUACUUGACUCAAAACCAAGGAUGGGUUUGUCAUGAUUGAUCGGAAGCACUUUGGUAUCAUGAGCUGGACUUUAAAGGAAUCAUAAAAUUUUCUUCCAAAUUUUCAGAGCAAGUCAAAUUAAAAACAAAUGUUAACAACUCACAGCAACACUUCCCAGAUUUCCAUUUUCAGCUUCAACCGUACCACUGAAGAGAUGGAUAUCUGGAUUAUCCAUCAACCUUAUAGCAUGGGGUUGGAACUAGAUGACCUUUAAGGUCCCUUCCAACCCAAACCAUUCUAUGAUUCUAUGAUUAUUUUUAAUGCAAAAUGGGCUGCUAAUGUCACAGCAUGGCAAGUUACAGAGCUUUAUUGAAAAAAAUAAGAGCCUCCAAAUAGAAGUUUCCUGGAGUUCCUUAAUUGGGAAGUCUCAGAACUGUAUCCAGUUCAAAAUUUGGGGGAUGUUGAAGCAGAACACAGAAUGUACUUUGCACCACUGUGGAGAUACAGAAGAUACAAGGCAAAGAAAAGUGCAAAUGCUCAGGGCUGAGGGAAACUACUUGUCCAGAGAGGGCCAAGGUGCUUGGUGCAGACACUGCUCCAGACAAAUGUAUUUUCCCAGUGUGAGGAAAUUGUGGGGUUUUUUCCUUACCUGUUAAUUUUGCCAUUCAUUUCAAAAUCCAGCGCAGCACUGAGAAGCUGUCCUGCUGACUGGGUCACCGUGUUGCCUCCCCUCUAAGGUACCUUAGAGCCACCUCUGAGUCACACCCUGGUAGCCUUUCACAGGCUCCGAAACCACGAGUGAGCAUGUACAGCAAUAAAGAGACUCACAUCCAGUUAAAUUGCUGGUUUGGUUUAACUGAAAAUACUGGUAUAGCCUAGUAUUGUACACAUUAAAGAGACAGUAGGGUAGGGCUCAAGAGGGUUUCUUCAGUCUAACCCACAUAGUGGACUGUGUAAGUAAAAUUGGUGAGAUGAUAACACUUGUCUGAUGUAAAUCAGUAUCUGGCCAUUCGUCUUUUGUACAGAGGUGGGCUCAAACACUGAGGCAAUUUAAGUCCUCAAAAAUUUUCUAGAGUCAAAAAUUUUCUUCUCUGGUUUGAAUUUUAAAGCCACUGGAGGGAUUUGGCAAUACAUCUCUAACUGAAAUUUGUAGGAGGUGUGUGGUUAAGUCCCUUAGUCAUCAGUGGAAAAAUCCCUUGCUGACUUUCUCAUUCCAAAUUUCUGUAAUAUUCAGCAUCUGAUGUUCAUCAGCCAUCUACAGCUAUGGACUGCAGUGCCAUGGAUACUCAGGUCUAGGACAUUCAACCUCCAAGGAAUUGUCUUUCAUAGUAGAAAUUACUUUGGUCUAUUUUUUCCUCUAUACUUUUGUAUAAAUAAAUAUU